UGAAUACGAGAUGCUACGGCGUCGAAGCAGUCUAUGUCAUACUUCCAAGAAAAGCUCGCACUGUCAUAAACAAAUAAUGCCUGUACCAUAACCGACACAGGUGGGUAGGUAGAGUAUACUAAGGGGCGCGAGAUAACUCUCUCUAAGGAACUCGGCAAAAUGACUCCGUAACUUCGGGAGAAGGAGUGCCUUAUUUAUAAGGUUGCAAUAACAAGAUCCAAGCAACUGUUUAUCAAAAACACAGGUCUCCGCUAAGUCGUAAGACGAUGUAUGGGGGCUGACGCCUGCCCAGUGCCAGAAGGUUAAAGAAGUUGGUUAGCAUUCGCGAAGCUGAUAACUGAAGCCCUGGUGAACGGCGGCCGUAACAAUAACGGUCCUAAGGUAGCGAAAUUCCUUGUCGGGUAAGUUCCGACCCGCACGAAAGGCGUAAUGAUUUGGAUACUGUCUCGGAGAGGGGCUCGGUGAAAUAGACUUGUCUGUGAAGAUGCGGACUACCUGCACCAGGACAGAAAGACCCUAUGAAGCUUUACUGUAACUUGAGAUUGAAAUUGGACUUUACUUGCGCAGUAUAGGUGGGAGGCGUUGAUAAUAUUCUUGCGGGAUUAUUUGAGCCAUCAGUGAGAUACCACUCUUGUAAUGUUAGAUUUCUAACUUUGUAUCAUUAUCUGGUCAAAGGACAGUUUCAGGCGGGCAGUUUGACUGGGGCGGUCGCCUCCUAAACGGUAACGGAGGCGCACAAAGGUUUCCUCUGAACGGGUAGAAAUCGUAUCUAGAGUGUAAAGGCAUAAGGAAGCUUGACUGUGAGACCUACAAGUCGAGCAGGGACGAAAGUCGGUCUUAGUGAUCUGACGGUGCUGAGUGGAAAGGCCGUCACUCAACGGAUAAAAGUUACUCUAGGAUAACAGGCUGAUCUCCCCCAAGAGUUCACAUCGACGGGGAGGUUUGGCACCUUGAUGUCGGCUCAUCGCAUCCUGGGGCGGUAGUACGUCCCAAGGGUUGGGCUGUUCGCCCAUGAAAGCGGUACGCGAGCUGGGUUCAGAACGUCGUGAGACAGUUCGGUCCAUAUCCGGUGUAGGCGUUAGAAUAUUGAGAGGAGCCUUCUUUAGUACGAGAGGACCGAGAAGGACAUACCUCUGGUGUACCAGUUAUCGUGCCAACGGUAAACGCUGGGUAGCUAUGUAUGGAGUGGAUAACCGCUGAAAGCAUCUAAGUGGGAAGCCCACCUCAAGAUAAGUAUUCUCUU
rnacentral:rRNA from 1 species